AAAGCCAAUGCCGACAGUGGCAGCAAACGAAGAUGGAUGGAAAGUUCCCGUGUCGAAUUGGACGAGGAGCGAAGUCUUUCCAACGCCACUGUCUCCAACCAGGAUAGUCUACAUAGCAGAAAUGUUACAGGACGUUAGCCAGAAACGUCAGCUGCUGAUAGGGCCAGUGGUGUUGUCACAACGUAUCCUCGAUAGCCCGUAUCACUUAUCUCUUUGCGCACUUUCAAAUCGACUGGGUGAGGCUGAGGAUGAUCAAGCCGGGAAUGAAACGAUCUUGAAGUACUGAAGUCGUCUUCUUCAAAGACCUCGUCAUCGGGCUCGUCCAGCCCCAUACUGGCGAAACUUUUAUGCGCCUCUGGUAUACCAUCCGACGGAGUUUCGUCGCCAUCCAACAUAGGGUUUUGCCAUUGCUAAAGUAUCAAAUGAAAGGGCAAACAGCCCUACUUGCAGAUGAUUAAAACCCGAAACCGUCUUUGAAAUGGGGUUACUCGAAUGUUUAGUUUUUAAGCGCUUUCAUCUGCAUAAUGAAACCCUAUAAAAUGCUGGAGCAAUAUUGCCCAUCAACGAUACAGUUAGAAGUAAACGGGCCCAUAAAUUGGUCUUUUUUUUUUAUCCAGUA